rnacentral:rRNA from 1 species
UGCAGUCGAACGGCAGCACGGACUUCGGUCUGGUGGCGAGUGGCGAACGGGUGAGUAAUAUAUCGGAACGUAUCCAAUAAUGGGGGAUAACUAAUCGAAAGGUUGGCUAAUACCGCAUACGCCCUACGGGGGAAAGCUAGGGAUCUUCGGACCUGGCGUUAAUGGAGCGGCUGAUACCUGAUUAGCUAGUAGGUGAGGUAAAGGCUCACCUAGGCGACGAUCAGUAGCUGGUCUGAGAGGACGACCAGCCACACUGGAACUGAGACACGGUCCAGACUCCUACGGGAGGCAGCAGUGGGGAAUUUUGGACAAUGGGCGAAAGCCUGAUCCAGCCAUUCCGCGUGAGUGAAGAAGGCCUUCGGGUUGUAAAGCUCUUUCGCAAGGGAAGAAAACUUAGGCGCUAAUAUCGCCUGAGGUUGACGGUACCUUGAUAAGAAGCACCGGCUAACUACGUGCCAGCAGCCGCGGUAAUACGUAGGGUGCGAGCGUUAAUCGGAAUUACUGGGCGUAAAGCGUGCGCAGGCGGUUUUGUAAGUCAGAUGUGAAAUCCCCGAGCUCAACUUGGGAACUGCGUUUGAAACUAUAAGACUAGAAUAUGUCAGAGGGGGGUAGAAUUCCACGUGUAGCAGUGAAAUGCGUAGAGAUGUGGAGGAAUACCAAUGGCGAAGGCAGCCCCCUGGGAUAAUAUUGACGCUCAUGCACGAAAGCGUGGGGAGCAAACAGGAUUAGAUACCCUGNUAGUCCACGCCCUAAACGAUGUCUACUANUUGUUGGUGGANUAAANUCCAUGANUAACGCAGCUAACGCGUGAANUANANCGCCUGGGGANUACGGUCGCAAGAUUAAAACUCAAAUGAGUUGACGGGGGCCCGCACAAGCGGUNGAAUAUGUGGA